rnacentral:rRNA from 1 species
CAAUAGCGUAUAUUUAAGUUGUUGCAGUUAAAAAGCUCGUAGUUGGAUUUCUGCUGAUCGCUGUCGGUCUGCCGUCAGGUGUGUACUGGCAGUGUUUGGCAUCUAUUCGAGAUUGGGUGUCCACUUGAUUGUGUGCACUCGAUGUCGGAGCUAAUACUUUGAGAAAAUUAGAGUGUUCCACGCAGGCGCGUGCCUUGAAUACUGCAGCAUGGGGUAUUGGAAGGCCGAUUGAGCUUUCUUGUUGGUUCUCGGUUUGAUCGGAAUGAUUAAUAGGGAUAGUUGGGGGCAUUCGUAUUCAACUGUCAGAGGUGAAAUUCUUGGAUUUGUUGAAGACGGACUACUGCGAAAGCAUCUGCCAUGGAUGUUCUCAUUGA